GUUUCCUACUUAAUACAUUCCAAAUCGAGUUCAUGAAUCAUUUUUUAGGAUUGAGAAAAAAGACAUUGGUGGUGCUUUAGUGAGUGUGAGAAGCCUGGGCUUCUCUGGGUUUGACUUAUUACAUGAGAUGCAGAACAGACCUGGUCGGCAAAGCAGGCUUCCCAGUGAACAGGCUCAGAGCUUGAGUUGAGUUUACAGUCCAGCCCACCUGGUCUUCCUGGUCCCAGGAGAAGAGAGUACGCCUUUUAAGUAAGGAGGCUGUUUCAUGUGAUGACAGCACUGAGAACUAACCAAGUCCUUACCUCACCUUCUCUGACUUCAUCAUUAGCAUAUGUCUCACAGCCUAGAACAUUGGUGUCCCGUACAACAUCCUCUGAUGAUGAAAAUGUUCUAUGAUGUAUGUGGGUAUUGAGCACUUGAAAUAUGGCUAAUGGAACUGAGGAACAGACAUUUUAUUUAAAUUUAAAUCUCAAUACUCAUUUAGUCCCCAUGCAAAUCAUAAGGAGCACGUAUUAUUAUUUCCCCCAUUGGAGAAGUGAAGAACUGAGGCAGAGAGAGAUUUAGCAGAGGAAGGAAGUGGCCAAGUUGGGAUUUAAACUCUAGGCAGUGUAUCCAUGGAGUUUAAACAGCUGUGUCUACUUUGCUUUCAACUGUAGGGUAAACUUGCUCUUCUUUAUGGCUUGCUUACAUUUAAUUAUUUGUGUGUCUAUGUUAUUACCACGUUUGUUUAUCCAUAACAUGUGUCAGUGAUUCUUCUUGAAGCUUUACAGUCUUCUUGUUUACCAAUAUCUCUAACAUAGCACAAGCUUCCUUAAUAUGUGGGUUACUGACUAGCUCCCUGACCAGCAUAUCACUCCACCAAAGCAGCGCUUCUGAAUCUUAAAUGUGCACAGAGUCACAUGAAAUACAGGUGGUUUCUGAUUCAGGAGGCCCUGGUCGGGCCUGAGAAUUUGUACUUUUUAACCACCUUCUAGGUGAUGCUGAUGGUGCUGGGUGAUCUAGUGGCCACCCUUGGAGACCCACUGAUGUAAACCAUGCCCAGUGCUACCGUCAGGCUAAAUGACUUUAAAAUAGAACUGUUAAUACUUUUAGAAUUCUUUUAGUGAAAGACACAAUCUUCCAUGGUUAUUUUUUGAUCUUGUGUGCUGCACAAAUAGUAUGUGCACUCUCUUUUUGCCAAGAGAUGAAAAUCCAACUAAAAAUAGUAAGGGAAGGAAGGGAAAGAAGAAAGGGAGCAGGAGGAAAGGGAGAGGGAAGAAAGAAGGGAAGGAAAGAAGAAAAGUAAAGGGAAAGAUUAUAUAACUGAGAUGCCAGGGGUAGGUCACAUCAAACCCUGUAGAUUCAUAGAAAUUGCUACCUGGUACACACCAGGACAAAUCUGACCACGAAGCUAUUGUGAUCAGAAUAAUAUUUGAAAAAACCAAAUUAAAAUAUUUGUGUUGGAGUAUGUCUCCAUUUCCCCAUGAUUCCACUAAUCCAUUUUGUUUUACAGAUACCCCUUUACAAUUUUCUGUUAUCUCCCUGUCAGUUAAAGACUUCAACGUUUGCUACUCCAGUUUAGGAACAACAAAACAAGGCAUCAAGAUAUGAUCAUUGCCCAUCUCUACUUUUUCUUUCCUCAAAGAGGUUUUUGUAUUUUCACAUAGGCUGUCUUGACAUGGUGUUAAUAAUGACCUUGGCCAGCUUCAGGCUCACGUGAAUUUUGGUCACAGUAAUCUCAGUGAAAAGAGUAUUUGCUUUUUCCUAACAGACUUGGUCUACUUGGAACUACUUUCCAUGAUUUGUAGAAUGUAUAGAAUUAUGAACCAGAAUUCCAGUAAUUUUACCUUUCAUAAGAAACUCUUACCUGAGUUAUGCCUUAAAGUUAGGUCCUCCACCAAAUUGUAAGUUGGUAAAAGUAGCUAUGUAGGGUAACUAUUUCUUACCUCAAAGCUAGUUUAUAUUACUCAAUAUCCUUUGUGUAAAGAUUCAUGUGAUAUCACUUUUAGAAAUUAAUAGGCUGGAAAAAUAUCUGAAUCAACAGGUAUAGGUCUUCAAUUGGAAAAACUAAUUUUCCCAUUAUAAUUGAUGAAAAAUUCAAAAUUUAAAUUGAUGCAUAAAUUACUACAUUAUUCUAAAGUUUAUAAACAUCUAUAAUUUUAUAUCAACUAUUUAGAAUCUCAAUAUAAUUUUUCUGAAAAUUCCCUUGAGUUAUUUUCAUUUUAUUCUUCCUUAAGUAGACUAAAGAAUGCAAAAGAGUGAAGAAUAGCAUUCUUUGGGAGAAGUAGGGUAUUUCCAUUCUAUUACCUCCUUCCUGGAAAUUACAAAUCGAGGCCCUAAGUGUUAAAGAUAAAAAAUAAAAAAUUUACAGCCAAGACCUGUGGCUUAAUUUUAAGAUCUGUUUCAUAAAAUGGUACAGUUUUAGAAGUUAAAGUCUCAUUAAUUUCCAUUUUAUUCAUUGGAAAACAGAAUCUGGGGCAAUAUCAGCUGUGAUCUGCAGCCAGCACUUUCUGGUUGAUAUUACAAGUAAAAUUUAUUGAAAUAAGAAGUGAGAACUUCAGAAGGAGACUGGUAAUACUGAAAUUCUUUAAACUGAAACUAGUUAUAAUAGAACAGUAGAAUAAUGAAACACAGCAAAGCAUCACAUGUUGCUAUUAGACAUCAAUCUUUACCCUUGAGAUCUUCCUUUUGCAAAGUCUAAAUCGUUACUAUGGUUUCAAGUAUAAUUUCUUUACUUUGGCACCAAGAUUAAUGCAGAAUACACAGUAUGUAGAAUGCAAAGUUAACGACAGUUCUUUGAAUGACUGAAAUGCAUGAAGUCACGAUACACAUCAUAUUUAUUCAUCAUUUGAAAAGUUGUUGACAAUUCUCUUGGUGUGAGGCAAUUUGCUAUCCAUUAUCAGAUGCUGGUAAAAACAUUAAAAUGACAUGAUUUAUGCAGUGGGUUUUAUGAGCUGUGUUAUUGAGGUGUUGCCUUCCUUUUCAAAAAUUAUUCAAACAAUGUGCUUCCUUUUUCACUCCAUCAGUUCCUACUUAGUGUGGGACAGAACAUUUGAGAGUAACAGCCAUCUUCUUCACUUACUAGGAGUGUGACCUAUGACCAGGACACUCUGAACUUUAACUGGCCUCUAAAAUGAGGCAUUUGAGCCAAAGCACUAUUACAUUCCUAUCCAGUUCCAGUAAAGGGUGUUUAUUUCUGUAGUAUAUUUCUAUUACCCAAAUAGUGUGCAUUCAUUAUAGAGCAUUAUUUGAUCCAAAAAGCAAAAUUUUUUUUUAAAGUGAGAGAUAUCCGUGGUUCCAUUCUGCAAUAUGAAAUAUUUUGAUUCUAUCGUGAUCCUUCUAGCUUGACCUCAGCCAUCAGUCAUUCCCGUAAGGAGUUCAUUUCUACAAACCAGAGAUUCAUCUCUAGUCAUUAAUAUUUUUAAUGGUAUGGAGAUAAGAUGAUGGCAGUUAAACUUGAGAUCCUCAGUUUUUAUCAUCUUUCCUACAGAGAAGAAUGAUCCCCAGGACAAAACUUGUAGUGACCACUGCUAUAGGGGAUUGCUGCCAAUGUUGCACUGGUUUGACUGAGCAAAGGAUUCUGGAAUGUUCAGCCACUAGGAAAACUGUCCCUAGCAUAUCAUUCAGAGGUAUCAGGAGACAUUCACGCUUAUUGAAUCAGAAAUGGGAAAAAAUCAAGAUAUAUGACCUUAGUUUCUUGGAAACAGUGAAGAUUGCCUAUGCUUAUUUCAGGGGAAUCCACAAUAAAAUAAAAUAUGUUUUGCUCUCAAUUUCUUGGACUUUUUAAACUGUUGAGCCAUUCGAGCCCAAGCAAAACAAACUGUCUUCGUAAAAGUUUAUUUCAUUUUGUAGGGGAUUUGUAUUUUAUGCAAUUAUAAAAAAUUCAAGUAUGGGAAAAACAUAAUAAAAUAUUAACUGUCAGGAAGCUCAGUUUAGUUUAUGAUUUUAUGAGUCUGCUUUUCUGCUCUAUGGAGGGAAGUUUAAUGUUGCUGCUGAUAGUAACUUAGUUGCUUCUGGUUUAAAAUUCAAUCAAUUUGGGAUUAACAUUAUCACUUUCUUACCCAUUAUCCCCCUCCCGCUCCUUUGGGAGCUUCUGGGUUCUGGAGAGUUUCACUAAAUAGGUAUGGGAACUGGGUUUGUAAUUGAUUAUAUCUUCUUUCAUUGCUGGCUUCUGCUAAGGUGUGACUCAUCAUAGUAGGUCAAGAAUUGGUGCCCUCUGUUCCUGAUGCAUCUACUGCUGAGGUGCUCUUCCCACCAUGACAUCCAGUUCUCAGGUCCAUAGGCACCACGUCUUCUUGGACCCAACCUCAAUGUCUGUUCACAUAAUUGUGGUCUCUCAAUGAAUUCACAACUCUCCUGAUGUCUCAAAAUACCCAGCUUUUCUAUCAUACACUAGCUUGUACAGGACUUAGACUGCAUUCAGGUGCUAUCUAGGCCCUUAAACAGUGAUUUUCUACCACACAGGUACCAUGCUAGUUGCCAUUUCUCUAUAAGACUUACCAUAUCUCACACAGCAUCCCAGAAAACUCUUCUUCUCUGAGGUUACACCCAAACUUAUUGAUGUAUAUACUGGAGUAUCAGUACCCUUGCCUAACCUUCAGAUUGGAUUUAUAGCAGAAGGGGCCCUGGGACCCAUUACCAGAAAUCUAGAUCCUAUAUAUCACUAUUAUUUUCCUGCCCAUUGGUGAAAUUCUUUUCACCUUUUGAUGAGAGAACAUCUCGUAGAUAAUCAUAAGUUUCUUUCUCACCUUAAGUUUUAGAUGUGAUUACCAUAUUUUAAGACUUACAGGACUCAGAAAUUAAACAAAAAAACUUUUUCUCUCAAGUUAUUUUUUUUAUAGCCAUGGCAUUCAAGAAUAUUUGUUGCUUCUACUGAAAACUUUUCCAUGUCCUUUAAAGAGUAGAAAAGCCAAGAACAUAAUAAUUGUUCUUACGUUAUCAGCUCUUUCUGAAAACAAUGCAUUUAUUGAAAAAGUAUGAGAAAAGGAGAAAAUUAACUGAAAAAACCCCACACAGUUGGAUAUCAAAAUGUUACGCCACUACAGUUAAAUUUACAUAUUCAAUAAGUGUUUGAAAUAGCUUUGUCUUAAUUUUAUUUUCAUUAAGAAUUUAGAUUUUAUGAUUUUUAUUUUCAAGAAUGGAAACAAUUUAUUAUGUUAUGCUUAAAGGAAGAAAAACAGUAAUUGGUUCUUAAAUUAGGGGUUGCCUAUAUUCUAACUACAGCAAAUCUCAUUUAUAUACUGUUUAUUUUUUCCUCAGUAUUUUUGCAUUUUAGAAGCAUUAUCACAACAACUAUCUAAAAUGAAAUAUUUUUCUCUUCCAUUUUCUUGCUGGAAAAAUUUGGUUAAAAGAGAUAGUUAGCCAAAAUGAAUCAACAAAUAAAUAAGAUGGAGUUCCCUGUCAUGGCUCAGUGGUUAACGAAUCCGACUAGGAACCAUGAGGUUGUGGGCUUGAUCCCUGGCCUUGCUCAGUGGGUUAAGCUUGCGGCAUUGCUGUGAGCUGUGGGGUAGGUCACAGACGCGGCUCAGAUCCCGCACUACUGUGGCUGUGAUGCAGGCCAGCGGCUACAGCUCUGAUUCGACCCCUAGCCUGAGAACCUCCAUGUGUCAUAGGAGCAGCCC
rnacentral:lncRNA from 1 species